UACGUAGGGGGCAAGCGUUGUCCGGAAUUACUGGGUGUAAAGCGCGUGUAGGCGGCAGACCAAGUCGGCGGUGAAAGCGCCCGGCUCAACUGGGCGGGGUCCAUGAAACUACGUCGAGCUGGGAGGACGGUAGGAGGUAGUGGAAUUCCCGGUGUAGUGGUGAAAUGCGUAGAGAUCGGGAGGAACACCCGUGGCGAAGGCGGCUCACUGGGCCGGUCCUGACGCUGAGACGCGAAGGCGUGGGGAGCGAACGGG
rnacentral:rRNA from 1 species